UACGUAGGGUGCGAGCGUUGUCCGGAAUUAUUGGGCGUAAAGAGCGUGUAGGCGGCCUGACAGGUCUGCUGUGAAAACUCGAGGCUCAACCUCGAGAUGUCGGCGGAAACCGUCUGGCUAGAGUCCGGAAGAGGAGAGUGGAAUUCCUGGUGUAGCGGUGAAAUGCGCAGAUAUCGGGAAGAACACCUAUGGCGAAGGCAGCUCUCUGGACGGUACUGACGCUGAGACGCGAAAGCGUGGGGAGCGAACAGG
rnacentral:rRNA from 1 species